rnacentral:lncRNA from 1 species
CUCUAUGGCAAGGCGAAGGUCGAAUUCAUAUUUUGCAACAUUGCUUCUGAGGUCUGAGUGGCAAACAGCAAGGUUUAAACCUGCUGUGCUGUUGAAAACGAAAUGCUAGCUGGAAAAACUAGGAAAUAAUGUGUUUAAUAAAAUCAUACACUCUUAGAUAAAAAAGGUGUUCUAUAUAAAACCUUUUGGUGCCAUUCUGAUUCAAAAACCAACUGCCAUUCCAGCAUGAUGAAGCAAGAGGAUGGUGGUUGAGCCAACUUGCUAGUAGCCAGCAAUAAGCACAUCAUUUUUUAAAUGUAUUAUUAAGUAUUUCAGUGUGGAGUCAAUUUAGGGACUAUGUUUCACGAAGAAGCCAUUAGGAGAUUGUUGCUGACCGAGGAGUCUAGCAGUAACCCAACUAUCAGAGGCAGAGGAUCUCUAAUUUCGGCUGCUGCUUCAUGCAACAACCCAUACUGUACUGGCGGUAGAUACCCUGGGGGCUAAGGAGUUGGACCUGUGGCCGAAAGGUGUCCGGUUUCGAAUCCCAGGCUGGCGCUGGGAAAAAUGGCCAGAAUUGAUCUGACAGCUGCAUCCAAAAUACCACAACUGCAGUUACUGCACUUUUUCUGGACUCAGGGGUAGACAUAACCUAGUAAAUGUAAAUAUGUAUCCCUCCAUUUAGUAUGAUAUCUUGUGUCAUAUGGUAUGUACUGUAUUAAUAUGUGGAUGCCCAUAAUCCAUUUGGUAUGAUAUGUUACGAAUUACAACUCGUGUGAUUAUGUAACAAAUUGGAAUUCCUACGAUAUAUUAAGAAUUUGCCAUAUGUAUGAUAUGUUAUGAAUUCCUAGGUGGCUAACAUUAGCUAGGCUAGGUGUUAGGGUUAGGUUUAAGAGGGUUUAUGUUUAUGUUGGUAUCAAACCUUGGGUUGCACGGGCCUAUUGCAACUUUCUGCCCUGUUACUGUGUUGUACAUAUAACCGGUCUGGAGAGGGAGGGAGAACAUGAGAGGGCGAGAGCUCCGAGGGGCCACCCAUAACGAUUCAACAACAGGAGGAAGACAAUCAUCAACAAAAUCUUGAGGGUAAAAAGGUUUGACUUUUAACCACAUUUCAUAUAAAAUCACACUAAAACAUGCCUACUAGAUCAAUUAAAUAAUUAAAUAAAUAACUAAAUAAAUAAUUAAGUACACAAUUAGAAAUCCCCCUCUCAAAAAAGGGGAUGAAGGGAUUACAUGCUAUGUUAAAGUGCAUAAUAUAAUAAAAUUCAAUACGAAAUAUAAAAAAGACAAAACCAGGUUGAGCAAUCAAAUACAUAAUUUUUUAUUGAAGCUCCUCCUCGUGUCGGUGGCCCCUCCAGCUCUCUUAGUUAGGCCCUCACUAACUCACACUGUUAGUGUUUUAUGCUACUCCUUAAUAAUCAUUCCAAGUGCAGCCAAGGUAUUAAGUUUUGAAAUCCACCCGGAUUCAGCUGCUCUUCUCUGGC